rnacentral:rRNA from 1 species
GCUAUACAUGCAGUCGAGCGAAUGACGAAGAAGCUUGCUUCUUCUGAUUUAGCGGCGGACGGGUGAGUAACACGUGGGCAACCUGCCCUGUAGAUUGGGAUAACUCCGGGAAACCGGGGCUAAUACCGAAUAAUCCAUUUCCUCACAUGGGGAGAUGUUAAAAGACGGCAUCUCGCUGUCACUACAGGAUGGGCCCGCGGCGCAUUAGCUAGUUGGUGAGGUAACGGCUCACCAAGGCGACGAUGCGUAGCCGACCUGAGAGGGUGAUCGGCCACACUGGGACUGAGACACGGCCCAGACUCCUACGGGAGGCAGCAGUAGGGAAUCUUCCACAAUGGACGAAAGUCUGAUGGAGCAAUGCCGCGUGAGUGAAGAAGGUUUUCGGAUCGUAAAACUCUGUUGUGAGGGAAGAACAAGUACGAGAGUAACUGCUCGUACCUUGACGGUACCUCAUUAGAAAGCCACGGCUAACUACGUGCCAGCAGCCGCGGUAAUACGUAGGUGGCAAGCGUUGUCCGGAAUUAUUGGGCGUAAAGCGCGCGCAGGCGGUCCUUUAAGUCUGAUGUGAAAUCCCACGGCUCAACCGUGGAAGGUCAUUGGAAACUGGGGGACUUGAGUACAGAAGAGGAAAGCGGAAUUCCAAGUGUAGCGGUGAAAUGCGUAGAGAUUUGGAGGAACACCAGUGGCGAAGGCGGCUUUCUGGUCUGUAACUGACGCUGAGGCGCGAAAGCGUGGGGA